GGAUAUGCCUCGGCUCGAUUCGACCUUGCCUAGCUAAUGCAACAAUUAGGCUAAGCUUGAUCAGAACAAUUAGGCUCCAGCUAUAACAAUACUACAGUAGUAUGUUCAUGCGGGAAUUGCGUAUACUCGAGCUUAUGAUCUGUGAAAUUCGUAUAUGUUCUGUUAUUUGACCUUGAGCUUUGAAUUGAAUGAGCUGAACUCAAGUGAUCUCGGUUCAUGCUCAAGCCACAUCAUAUAUGCUUUGCUUGGGCUCCGCUUAAGCUUGGCUCAACUUGGUUGAGGAGUAGUAAAUAAAUAUUUAACCGACGUGCGCCUGGACAAUAUAUCCUUUUGAAAAUAGAUUUCUAGGAAAUUUUUAUGCACUAGAAGGAUGAUAUGGCAAUAAAAAUGAUGAGCACAGCUUUCACUCUCUUGCACCAUGAUCCAGUGCAAAGCCCAUAUAUCCUUUGGCGCUUCUAACCAAAUGAUGCUGGACUUUGUAAGAAUGUGUUUAUAUUUUUUUGUACAAAUCCCUUUUAUGGUUAGUUAUGUUUGGUUUCACUACCUGCUCCACCACGCUAUAUACGGAUAAUGUCUGCGUUAGAUACUGUGAGAUAAAUAAUGAGCUCAAUCAUGCCAUUUUCUCUUAUUUUUAAAGUGAUUGCUUUUCUUGCUUCUUUUUUUUUCUUUUUUGGUUUGACUCUGAUAAGUUUUACUUACUUCUAGAUGUUCCAUAUAGCAGGUUCUUCUGGUACAGUACUUCGGUGUUGCAGUGCACGUCUUCUACAUGAAUUUGAUGAGCAACAUUGUGCUAGAUAGUCAUAAGGGGGUGUUUGGUUGUUUAGUUCGGACUAAAGUUCCUGUCCCAUCGAAUAUUUAGAUGCUAAUUAGAAGUAUUAAAUAUAGACUAAUUACAGAACCAAUUGCACAGAUGGAGGCUAAUUUGCGAGACGAAUCUACUAAGCCUAAUUAGUCCGUGAUUUGACAAUGUAAUGCUACAAUAAACAUGUUCUAAUCAUGAAUUAAUUAGGCUUAAUAAAUUCAUCUCACGAAUUAACCUCUAAUUAGUUUUAUAAUUAACUCAUGUUUAGUCCUUCUAAUUAGUCUCCAAAGAUUCGAUGGGACAUGAAUCACCCUUAGAUCAUCAUGAGCUAUGCUUGAUCGGAACAAUUCACUUCUAGGCAACAGAGUUGAUUGCCGGAUAAUUACCAAAAUCCCGACAUGACAACCUAAUCGCAGGCCCAUAAACCUCGUUAACAAAUUCAAAACUACCAACAUAACGGUGCUGAUGGCAGCACAAUCUGACGGAAGGCACGCAUUGCCCUCCUUCUUCUUCCUCCCUCCUUGAGAUCAGCACCCAUCCACUGAUCCACCUGCAUCCCACUCGCGCGCGCGGCCCGAAGCAUCCGUCUAGCAAAAAAGCUGUCAAGCCACAGCUCUUUCCUGACACACAUGUCGCUCACCCUCCUCACCCUCCUACUACUCAUUGCAAUCCCACCCGCAACCUCGGCUACGCAGCCGGCGUCGAACUCCUCCGCCGAUGUCCUCCUCUCCUUCCUCGCCGCCCUCCCACCAGCGGCCCAGCGCCUCCUCCUCCCGUCGUGGAACACCGCCGCCUCUGGCAACGGCAACUCGACCGCGGCUGGCCCCCAUUGCGCGUUUCUUGGCGUCACCUGCUCGGCGGCCGGCGCCGUGGCCGCGCUCAACCUCUCCGGGGCGGGGCUCUCCGGGGACCUCGCGGCCUCCGCGCCGCAGCUCUGCUCGCUCCCGGAGCUCGCCGCGCUCGACCUGAGCGGCAACAACUUCACCGGCGCCAUCCCUCUCGAGCUCGCGGCGUGCUCCGCGCUGUCCGCGCUUCUCCUCGGCCGCAACGGGCUCUCGGGCGCCCUACCACCGGAGCUGCUCUCCUCGCGCCAGCUCAAAAAUAUCGACCUCAACUCUAACGCCCUCACCGGAGAGAUCCCAGCGCCCUCCGCCGGUGGCUUCUCGCUUCUGCAGUACCUCGACCUCAGCAACAACAACUUCUCCGGCGCCAUCCCUCUCGAGCUCGCCGCGCUUCCAGCCCUCAGCUAUUUGGACCUGAGCACGAACAAACUCUCCGGACCAAUGCCGGAUUUCCCGGUGCAUUGCGUGCUCAAAUUUCUCAACGUCGACAGCAACAAGAUUGAUGGCAAGCUUCCGCGCAGCCUCGGCAACUGCGGCAACCUGACCAGAUUGUAUCUAUCCAACAACAAGAUUUCAGGCUCCGUUCCCGAUUUUUUCGCGUCCAUGCCAGGCCUGGAAAAGCUGUUCCUCAGCAACAAUUCCUUCACCGGCGAGUUCCCGGCAAGCAUUGGUGAGCUUGUCAAUUUGGAGAAGCUGAUGGUAUCGGCAAAUGGGUUCACCGGGCCUGUCCCUGAGUCGAUUGGAAAGUGCCAUUCACUGACAAUGCUUUGGAUGCAUUCCAACCGGUUCACCGGAUCAAUUCCGGCAGCGAUAGGCAAUCUCGUCAGCUUACAGUGGUUCACUAUCAAGGACAAUUUAAUCACUGGCACAAUCCCACCGGAAAUAGGAAAAUGUCAGGAAUUGACCUGGCUUGAACUCCACAACAAUAGCCUUUCCGGGGUUAUACCACCAGAGAUCACCCAGCUUACAAAGCUACAAGUGCUGUCCCUGUUUGGCAACAGGCUACACGGGCAGGUGCCUGCCGCAUUGUGGCAAAUGCCUUACAUGGAGGAGCUGGCGCUCUCGUACAACAACCUGACUGGAGAGGUGCCUGCAGAAAUUACUCUUAUGAGGAAUCUGAGGGAGCUCAUCUUGGCAUAUAACAACUUCACCGGUGAGAUCCCGCAAGCCCUGGGAUUGAACACAACACAAGGACUUCAGCGGAUUGACCUCACUGGUAACCGCUUCCGUGGUGAAAUCCCGCCUGGUCUCUGCACCGGAGGACGGCUCGCCGUUCUUGAUCUUGGGCACAACCAAUUUACUGGGGCUAUUCCCAGUGAGAUUUGGAAGUGCCGGUCUCUCUGGAGGGUAAUUCUAGGGAACAAUCUAUUCAGCGGGAGCUUAUUACCUUCAGAUUUGGGGACAAACACAGGGUGGUCAUUUGUAGAAUUGAGUGGCAAUCUUUUUGAAGGGAGGGUACCAAGUGUGUUUGGUUCAUGGCGCAACCUCACGGUGCUUGAUCUAUCUAGCAACAAAUUCUCUGGUCCAAUCCCACGUGAGCUCGGUGCUCUAAGCAUUCUUGGGAAUCUGAACUUGUCGUCGAACAUGCUGUCUGGACCAAUACCACAUGAGUUGGGAAAUUGCAAAAGGCUUGUCCGUUUGGAUCUUCAAUUCAACUAUCUCAAUGGAAGCAUAUCUUCAGAGAUCAUAGCACAUGAUAGUCUACAAACUCUUAUGCUUUCUGGAAACAAGCUCACUGGAAAGAUCCCAGACGUCUUCACUGGGACGCAGGGCCUUCUUGAGUUGCAUCUUGGUGCCAAUUCUUUGGAAGGACCCAUCCCUGAAAGCUUAGGUAAACUUCAGUUCAUCUCCAAAAUUAUAAACAUUAGCAACAAUAGAUUGAGCAACGAAAUCCCAAGUAGCCUCGGCAACCUUCAGAUGCUGGAAAUGCUUGACUUGUCAAAGAAUUCUUUGUCUGGUCCGAUUCCAUCACAGCUGAGCAACAUGAUGGCACUUUCUUUUGUGAAUGUGUCGUUCAAUGAGCUCUCUGGUCAGCUUCCUGCUGGUUGGGUUAAGCUCGUGGAACGAUCACCUGAAGGGUUUCUGGGGAAUCCCCAAUUGUGCAUACAGUCUAACAACGCACCUUGCUCCCGGAACCAAUCUGCGAAACGUAUAAGGAAGAAUACACGGAUAAUUGUAGCACUGCUAGUGUCAGCUCUCGCUAUCAUGGCUGCUGGGCUGUUUCUUGUUCACUAUAUGGUGAAGAGGUCACAGCGCCAAUUGGCGAAACAUGUCUCAGUGCGUGGCCUGGACACGACAGAGGAAUUACCCAAAGACAUAACCUUUGAUGACAUCCUUCGUGCCACCGACAACUGGAGUGAGAAGUAUGUGAUUGGAAGAGGCCGGCAUGGCACUGUCUACCGGACAGAGUUUGCUCCUGGAAGGCAGUGGGCAGUCAAGACAGUUGAUCUGUCCCAGUUCAAAUUCCCCGUUGAGAUGAAGAUUCUUAACAUGGUAAAGCACCGGAACAUCGUCAAGAUGGAGGGUUACUGCAUCCGUGGAAACUUUGGCAUAAUUCUCUCCGAAUACAUGCCUCAGGGAACACUGUUCGAGCUAUUGCAUGGAAGGAAACUUCAAGUGGCCCUUGACUGGAAUGUCCGACAUCAGAUCGCCCUUGGUACAGCGCAGGGUUUAUCCUAUCUUCACCAUGAUUGUGUGCCAAUGAUUGUUCAUAGGGAUGUCAAGUCAAGCAACAUACUGAUGGAUGCCGAUUUGGUACCUAAGAUCACAGAUUUUGGCAUGGGGAAAAUCAUAGAUGAUGAUGAUGCUGAUGCAACAGUGUCUGUUGUCGUUGGCACCCUCGGCUACAUUGCUCCAGGUAACAUUCCUUCAUUCAAAUUCACAUUCCAACAUCACAUUUUCUUAAGUUAACAUGUGUUUUCAUUUAUUCCCAGAGCACGGAUACAACACGAGAUUGACUGAGAAGAGUGAUGUCUACAGUUAUGGUGUGGUGCUACUGGAACUUAUGUGCAGGAAGAUGCCUGUGGAUCCUGCAUUUGGUGACGGUGUGGACAUUGUGGCAUGGAUGACAUCGAAGCUGAAGUCUGCAGAUCACUGCAGCCUGAUGAACUAUUUGGAUGAGGAGAUCAUGUACUGGCCCGGAGAUGAGCAGGCAAAGGCACUGGACUUGCUAGAUCUGGCAAUGUCCUGCACGCAGGUAUCUUUCCAGUCUAGGCCAUCCAUGAGGGAGGUGGUGAGCACCCUGAUGAGAAUAGAAGAUGAAUACAUAACAAAUGAAUAGAUGUUCUGAAUAUAGUUCUUUGAGAUCAAGUGCCUUUAAAUAAUGAAUACAGAUACACAAGCGAAAGGGAAACCACAGUUGUACAGUUUGUUUCAAGGUGCUGUAAUUAUUUCUUGAAUAUUGAGUAAGACAUUGACAAACUUGCCCCAGAAACUGUAAUGACAAGGCUUGCAGAAUAAAUUAUUUUGAUUGUAUGCUUGAGCUAUCACUAUUAAUGUUCUUUCCCUUCGUUAGUUACCCUGCAAUUGUGUUUAUUGUUCUUCCUUUAGCGUCAGGAUCUCGGCCAGGACAAGGUAAGAAUAGGACACUGACAAUGGAAAUUUCCAAGUUGGAGCAGGAGAUUGAUCAGCUUGCUCUUCCAUUCAAGUUAUCAAUUUUCAGCCCACAUGCAUAUAUGGUAAUAUUUGCUAUCAUAAAAAGGCUAUGCGGUGUUUUUGUGCUUCUGAUUCUCUGGAGCAACUUUUAAUUUUUUGCACAUGCAGUUUUGUGUUUGUGUUCUUUUCCCCUAAACGACAGUACUAUAAUAUUUUCACAUACCAUUGAACAUGUUAAUAGUGCAAUGCAGUCAUAACUUGAAUAGGAAUGCUUCUCAACUUUUCUUGCAUUCCGAUCGACUCUACUAAUUAGCCGGCAAGCACUUAUCUUUUGUUAGGAUGAACUUAGGAUGCAUGUAGGUAUCCAAUGGGUUUUUUUAGCUCAGCUAAUUAAUUACAUUAACAUGUCAUUUUAGUUCAUUUAUUUCCCUAGAUUAAUUAUAUGGCAUACCAUUGAAGUUCGUUUUAGAAAAUUUUAGAUCAACUAAAUGAUCCAAAAAAAUUGAACUUGCAUAUCUGGAUGAACUUAGAUCUCCCCAAAUACACAAUAUUGCAACUAGCGAUGACCAAGGUACUCUGCCAUCCAUAAUAAAAACUCCUAAACUGCCCUCCUGCAGCACCCUGGCGAAGGAACUAAGUUAUGCAGGAUGGUGGAGGUCGCUGUACUGUAAAAUUCACCAUAGAGAAUUGUUUCCAAUGUGCUACGAGUAUUGGUAAUCUUUCUGGAAGCACUCGUGGUUAUCAAGUCACCACUUCCUGCUUCACCUCGUGCACAAAUCGUACUAUCUUCUUGUUGGUCAAAUUUGUUGAGGGAAAUCUGACACAUGUCAAAUACCAAUGAACACAAGGAUUGAACCCAUCUAAAGCUUUCACAAAAGUUGGUAUCGUGCUCCAUUGUAAGAUUAUUUUGUAUUUUUUUGUAAGGACGUGGUGGUGCAUGUCUAUGACUCAGUUUUUUUAUAAUGCCUAUGACUCGGUUGGGCUUUCAUUAAGAAAUGACUCUACAUACUAGCUCAUCAUAAGUGCUUUGGUGUGGUUGAAAUAACCUUUUUUGAUGAGGCAUGCUAGCCAAACACUAGAACAAGAACAGUUAUCCAAAUAACUGACCUGGUGUUUCCUUGAACAUCGAAAGUCUUAAUAAUAGGUUGCGGCACAAACCCGCCAAACAUUCCGAGCAUCCCCUGAUCCCCCACUCGUGCAGCUCGGCAGGGUCCACACUCCCACUCGCCGAUGUCGCCGCCACCACCACAGCCGCCGCCAUGGCCAUCGCUCUCUCUGUCUCUCCCUCUCCUCACCCACCCUCUUCAAAGCGCCGCACGCCAAAGAAAGGAGCCUGCACCCUCCUCCCGCACCAAAUUCAACAAGGCAGCACAGUACGGCUCCCUCCCGCCAUGUCUCGUUCCGCUGCCUUUUUCCUCCUUGUAACGCUCGCCGUCGCCGCCUCCAAUGCGACGCCGUCGGAGGCAUCGUCCGCGAGCGCCAGUGAAGCGUCCGUCCUGCAUGCCUUCUUCGCCUCCUUGCCACCCGCCUCCCGGCGCGUCCUCCGCCCGUCGUGGAAGGCCACCAACGUCACCACCAGCAGGGGCCGCGGCGGCACCCCAAGCCACUGCGCGUUCCUCGGCGUGCAGUGCUCCGCUGCCGGCGCCGUCGCUGCAGUAAACCUCUCAGGGGCGGGGCUGUCCGGCGCGCUCGCGGUGUCAGCGCCCCGGCUCUGCGCGCUCCCGGCGCUCGCCGAGCUCGACCUCAGCCGGAACCGGUUCACGGGCCCCGUCCCCGCCGCGCUCGCCGCGUGCUCCAGGGUCGCCGCGCUCCACCUCGGCUGGAACAACCUCACCGGCGCGGUCCCGCCGGAGCUCCUCUCCUCCAGCCGGCUCCGGAAGAUCGACCUCAGCUACAACUCGCUCACCGGGGACAUUGCGGCCGCGCCCUCGGGCUCGCCGGUCCUCGAGUACGUUGACCUCAGCGUCAAUGCCCUCUCCGGCGUCAUACCGCCAGAGCUCACCGCGCUCCCGGCGCUUAGCUACCUAGACCUGAGCUGCAACAAUCUGUCCGGGCCAAUGCCAGAGUUCCCCGCGCGGUGCCGCCUCGUGUACCUCAGCCUCUACACCAACCAGCUCGCCGGCGAGCUUCCCCAGAGCCUCGCCAACUGCGGCAACCUCACCACCUUCUACCUAUCCUACAAUGGGAUUGGCGGCAAGGUGCCGGAUUUCUUCGCAUCCUUGCAGAAUUUGCAGGUGCUUUACCUUGACGACAACAAAUUCGUGGGGGAGCUGCCAGAGAGCAUAGGUGAGCUUGAGAGUUUGGAAGAAUUGGCGGUGUCGAAUAACGGGUUCACAGGCACUGUACCAGAUUCAAUUGGGAAGUGUCAGUCACUGACGAUGCUCUAUUUGGACGGCAACAAUUUCACCGGCUCAAUUCCGGUGUUCAUAAGCAAUUUUAGCAGAUUACAGAUGUUCUCUGUGGCUCACAAUGGAAUUUCUGGAAGAAUUCCACCAGAAAUUGGAAACUGCCAGGAGUUGGUUGAGCUCAAGCUCCAGAACAACAGCCUCUCCGGGACAAUACCACCAGAGAUUGGCAAGCUAAGCCAACUGCAGGGGCUUUAUCUCUACAAGAAUAACCUUAGCGGCGAGAUGCCCACAGAGAUCACUCAACUGAGGAAGCUAAGAGAGAUCUCCUUGUUCAGCAAUAACUUCACCGGCGUGCUGCCACAGGCCCUGGGGUUGAACACGACACCUGGACUAGCUCAGGUCGACCUCACUGGCAACCGCUUUCAUGGGAAAAUUCCCCCCGGUCUUUGUACUGGAGGCCAGCUCAGCAUUCUUGACCUUGGAGACAAUCAGUUCAAUGGAAGCUUCCCCAUUGAAAUUGUUGAAUGUGAGUCUCUCUGGAGGUUCAUUCUGAAGAACAACCAGAUCAGUGGGAACAUACCUGCAAAUUUGGGCACAAACAGAGGACUGUCAUACAUGGACAUUAGUGGCAAUCUGCUCAAAGGUAUGAUACCGGGUGUGAUUGGUUCAUGGCACAAUCUAACAAUGCUUGAUUUCUCCAAUAACCACUUCUCAGGACCAAUACCCCAUGAGUUUGGUGCUUUAAGCAAGCUUGAGACUCUGCGCAUGUCAUCAAACAGGCUUACAGGACCGAUACCACGUGAAUUAGGUUAUUGCAAGGAUCUUCUCCGUUUGGAUCUUGGGAAUAACCUGCUCAGUGGAAGUAUACCUGCAGAAAUCACAACACUUGGUAGCCUGCAAAACCUUCUACUUGGCAAAAACAACCUCACUGAAACAAUACCUGACUCCUUCACUGCAACACAGGAUCUAAUUGAGCUUCAGCUUGGUGAAAACUGUUUGGAAGGAGCAAUUCCUAUUAGCCUAGGCAAACUUCAGUACCUGUCCAAAGCUCUUAAUAUUAGCCACAACAGAUUGACCAGACAAAUUCCAAGUAGCCUAGGCAAACUUCAAGAUCUGGAAGUGCUUGACUUGUCAAAGAACUCAUUGUCCGGCUCAAUCCCAUCUCAACUGAGCAAUAUGGUUUCACUUUUGGUAGUGAACAUUUCAUUCAAUGAGCUCUCUGGUCAGCUCCCUGGUAGCUGGGCUAAGCUUGCAGAAAAGUCACCUGAUGGCUUUUUGGGCAAUCCUCAAUUGUGCUUAGAGUCAGAUUGUGUGCAUCGCUUCAGGAAUCAACCUGAGAAAUUACAAUACAGGAACAGAAGCAUUAUUCUGGCAUUGCUAAUGUCGACACUUGCUGUCAUGGGUGGUGUCUUGUGUGUUGUUUACUACAUUGUGAAGAGAUCGCAGCGCUUAUCAGCAAGUCGUGGUUCUGCCCGUAGCCUGGACACAACAGAGGAAUUGCCAGAAGACCUGACCUAUGAAGAUAUCCUUCGGGCAACAGACAACUGGAGUGAGAAAUAUGUCAUUGGAAGAGGCCGGCAUGGCACAGUCUACCGGACAGAGUGUAAGCUUGGAAAGCAGUGGGCUGUAAAGACCGUUGAUCUAUCCCAAUACAAGUUCCCCAUUGAGAUGAAGAUCCUGAACACAGUGAAGCACCGGAACAUCAUCAGGAUGGAUGGCUACUGCAUCCGUGGAAGUGUUGGCCUUAUCUUAUGUGAAUAUAUGCCUAAGGGGACACUCUUUGACCUAUUGCAUCAAAGGAAGCCUCAAGUGGCCCUUGACUGGAUGAUCCGGCAUCAGAUUGCCCUUGGUGUAGCACAAGGCCUUUCAUAUCUGCACCAUGACUGUGUACCCAUGAUUGUUCAUAGGGAUGUUAAAUCAAGCAACAUACUAAUGGAUACUGAGCUAGUCCCCAAGCUCACAGACUUUGGCAUGGGAAAAAUUGUCCAUGAUGAAGAUGCCAAUGCAACAGUGUCUGCUGUCAUUGGUACCCUUGGCUACAUUGCUCCAGGUACCUUCUUUAAAUUUAUAUUUGUUUCAUCACAUCACCGUGGCUCCUUAGCUUCAGGGUUAACAUGUUCAUAUUAUUUACCCAGAGCAUGGAUACUCUACAAGAUUAACUGAGAAGAGCGAUGUCUACAGCUACGGAGUAGUGCUACUUGAGCUCCUAUGCAGGAAGAUGCCUGUGGAUCCUUCGUUCGAAGAUGGUGUGGACAUUGCAACAUGGAUUAGAACAAAACUGAAGCAAGCAGAUCGCUGCAGCAUCAUAGAUCUCAUGGAUGAGGAGAUCAUGUAUUGGCCUGAAGAUGACCAAGAAAAGGCUCUGGACUUACUAGAUCUUGCGGUUUCAUGCACGCAGGUGGCUUGCCAGUCUAGGCCUUCCAUGAGAGAGGUGGUGAAUAUGUUGUUGAAAAUAGAAAAAUGAGAAUAUGGAGAAGUUUCCAGCAGUGUUAUGGCAUGGCUUGUCUUUUGAUGGAAUUGUACAGUUCAGAAAGUUUUCACCAGCGAGAAAAAGUGGACCAAAGUUACGGUAACUGGUCAUUCAAAAAUCAAAGUUUUGCAGCAUUCCACUGUUUGCAAGAGUAGCAACUUAAAGUUGGAAACUUUCUUGCUGGCAAAAAAGUUCUAUUAGUCAUUAAAGAAGAAAGUUCGUAACAUGUGCUCGAACAUAUAGCGGCAUAAAGAAAAUUAUGUAUAUAUUUGUGUAAAAGAUAUAGUUCAUAAUUGGUAUAAUGGUGGUUCUGUCCUUGUGGUUCUCUACUGUGAUGUUUUAUUUUUAAACGAGUUAACGUUACAGCACUUUGUUCCUGAUCCUUUCCACCUCAGCAGUAUAAUGUUGUCAUGAUAUGAACUAUUUACUUUUCAGACGUAUGUUCAGUCCCAAGCACUACUCUGUGUCUCUGUCUACAGGAACCAGAGCUAACACCUCACUCUACUGGCAUUUUUUCUGACUGGUUGACAAAUUAAACUAUUGUAGCAGUCCUAUCGUCCUAAUUAAGAUGAAAGGUUCCAUUCUCACUAUGACAUGUUGGAGCAUUUUGAAAAUCGAAACUACUGUUUUUUCUCUUCAGAGUGUGAGUAAACUCGGUUUGGACAAUGUCACUAUGAUCAGCUCCUUAAAAGUAAUGUUCUGUAAUAUAAUUUGUUCUUAUUUUUAUUAAUCUUGUUCAGUUUGUUUCUCUAUUGCAUUCUGCUUAUCUGAGUUGCAGUCUAGAAGGCCGAAGAAAAAUUAAACAAAUCUUCAGUUGCUAACAGGCAAAAAAUAUAGGCAGAGAUAGUACCACCUAAUAUGCAAAAUUAUUCAUUAUAGAUUCACUUACCAAAUUAAAGUUUGGAAACUUACUGAAAUGAAGAUGCACCCUCUCCUUCGGUUAGCACUCCUUACCGACGGUGAGAGACUUUCUUUCUGACGUGAAUCUACUUUAACGGAGCUGAAAGGCUACUUUAACGGAGUGAGGAGCAAGCACGGAGCGCGGCGCGCGUGAAGUGGCUGGGGAUAGGUAGCCCGUGGUUCGCGGGUGUUGG
rnacentral:lncRNA from 1 species